AGCAUGUGGUUUAAUUCGAAGCAACGCGAAGAACCUUACCAGGUCUUGACAUCCCGAUGCUAUUUCUAGAGAUAGAAGUUACUUCGGUACAUCGGUGACAGGUGGUGCAUGGUUGUCGUCAGCUCGUGUCGUGAGAUGUUGGGUUAAGUCCCGCAACGAGCGCAACCCCUAUUGUUAGUUGCCAUCAUUCAGUUGGGCACUCUAGCGAGACUGCCGGUAAUAAACCGGAGGAAGGUGGGGAUGACGUCAAAUCAUCAUGCCCCUUAUGACCUGGGCUACACACGUGCUACAAUGGUUGGUACAACGAGUUGCGAGUCGGUGACGGCGAGCUAAUCUCUUAAAGCCAAUCUCAGUUCGGAUUGUAGGCUGCAACUCGCCUACAUGAAGUCGGAAUCGCUAGUAAUCGCGGAUCAGCACGCCGCGGUGAAUACGUUCCCGGGCCUU
rnacentral:rRNA from 1 species